rnacentral:lncRNA from 12 species
UUAUUUGUCCUCACUGAGAAGUGCUCUGAGCACAUGGUAGACAUGCAAUAGAUGUUGUUAACCAUGUUGUCCAGCUAGGUGACUGGCUCCUAGCUCUCCUUUAAAGAGGUUCUUCGAGGGGCCCCCGGGUGGCUCAGUGGUUGAGCAUCUGCCUUUGGCUCAGGGUGUGACCCCGGGGUCCUGGGAUCGAGUCCCACAUCUGGCUCCCCUGCUUCUCCCUCUGCUUGUGUCUCUACCCCUCUUUCUGUGUCUCUCAGGAAUAAAUAAAUAAAAUCUUUUUUUUUUUAAAGAGAUUCUUUGAUUAAAAACACUUUUUUAGUGGUUGUUCUGUAAUUCUGUAUUUAUUGAGAAGUAACCAGAGAAUCACAGAAGGCUAAAGCUGGAAGGAAUUUUCUGUCUGGUGGUUUUCGAGCUCGUUUUCAUUUUAUUAUUUCUGUGAGCCUCAGAGACAAUCCUUCAAGGGACAGUUUAAAGGAAGGAGCUUGUAGGUGACACUCAGCCCCCUCGCCCUCCCCUUCCCUGAAACAUAAGUUGAAAACCAAUGUCCAAAGUGCUUCUCUAAAAUCUUUAUUCAUUAGCUGCCCUCUUAGGGAUCUUCAAAAAUGAAAGCAUUCCAAAUUAAAAAAAAAAAAAAACACCAAGUAUUAAUCUUAGGGUUUUAAAGAAGUGCCAGGAUGACACAUGGUAGUGUUUGCCCAUGAAGUACUUAUUUGCCCAGAUCUCGAGAAUCGGGAACUAGCAGUUUAGGAGUGAAGGUGACCCAGGCUCCAGAAGGACAGUCACAUCCGACACCGUCCGACCUUUCAGCGGCCACGGUGGUGGGAUGCACCGGGUGAAGGGGCACCCGUGGGCUCAGUGAACAAGACUGUGCCUUCCACCUGCCUUGGGGGUGCCCAACCUGCCCCCCCCCCCCCCCGUCUCCAUGCUGCUCCACUUGUGUUUUGGGGAGGCUCCUGUUAUCGCCGUCACUUGACCGUUCAAUGAGCUCGGCUUUAUGGCUCCAUCUAGGCCGCAGUGUGUGCGUACUUCCUGGGCGAGCCGAAGCCUACUCCAUGUCAGGGGAAUGCAAAGGUGAGUAAAACAGGGUGGCGGCCUUCCACUGGGACACCAGGUGGCCUGGGAAUCAGUCACAAAGGAAGGAAAAAUAAUGUGUAUUCCAGCUAUGGUUUCAAACAGUCAUAGCAUUUAAAGAAACUAAUUUUCUCUUAAUAGCUGAAUUAAAAAAUGAUGUUUUGGGGGGAGGGCUAAAAUAUUAGCUGCAGGGCUUUAAAAAGCAUAAUUUUAGGACCUCAAAAUGUAAUAAGUUAAACAUGUGUUUUCUGCUUUUUUUUCCUUUUAAAAAUUUUUAGGAAUAGUAAUUUGGCUUCUAAAAUGCUGUCAAAGUUGAGUCAAAAACCAGUUUUCAAUGAGUUUUAUCAUUAACUAUAAACAGGUUACAAAAAAUUAAAAAAGGAAAAAAACGUAGGUUAUGAUGUGUGCAGCUAAUGAGAAAAGAGGAACUAACAGAAGAUUAUAGAAACCACAAUCAAGGUUUUGAAAAUUUAGCUUAAAAUCCUACCAGGAGACAAAAAAAAAAAAAAAAAAAAAAAAAAAAAAAAAGAAUUCAUCCUUCCUCCACCUCCUUACUAUUCUUCUUAGAAUUUGUAUGUUAAGUUUACAUGGUUCCCCUUCCAGUAUCUUUAUUUACAACACUGUCACUGUUUCCAUAGUUAUGCAGAAUGUCUGUUUCCAUAGCAACAUUCUUGGUUUCCUAAACAAAUAGUAUCACAGUGUUAAUCUUGUUUCAGUGUUAUUGUACUAUGUUAUUAGAUACAAAAUUCAAAAAAUAAUUUAAGCAGGGUUUGAAACUAGGUGGGUUGGUUUUAUUGCCUGGUGCUUUCGAUAUUAAAUUUCAAUCUCAUAUUAAAAUACACAUCCAUUUGAAAAAUAGUGGGGAUUUUGCAUAGUAAACAUGAUACCAAUUUUAUUCACUAGUUAUAAAACACUGUAAUUUAAUAAGAGGGUGUUCCAAUACAUGAGCAAUACACAGGGAGAGGUUUACCAUCUUCAGAUUAAAGUGACGGUUUUUCAGCUGGCCUGGGUGAUUUAGCUUCCCCAAAUCUCUAAAGUCAUUUAUAACCUACCCGCAGCAAUAUUUCCCUUUGCCAUUUUUGCAUUUUAAAUAAUUUCUGCGCGUUUUUGCCUUUUAUUUUGCAGCCCCGAAGGAGCAGCUGCAAAAUAGACUUCAAGGGAAUUUUACUACUUCCUUUUUCUCCGAUUGCAAAAAAAAGAAAAAAAAAAAAAGGAGAGAGAGAGACAGAGAAAUAAAUAAGUAGGUUUUUGUGCUCGUGUCUUAACA